CCGGAGGACUCCUCAGGCUGCGGGGAACAUGGCGUUCUGGGGUUGGCGCGCCGCGGCAGCCGUCCGGGUGUGGGGCCGGGUAGCUGAACGGGCCGAGGCCGGGGUAGGCGUGGGGCCGUUCCAGGCCUGGGGCUGUCGGCUGGUGCUUGGCCGCAGGGACGAUGUCAGUGCGGGGCCGAGAGGCAGCCGCGGGGUCCGCGGUGAGCCCUUGGACCCGGCGCGCCCCUUGCAGAGGCCUCCCAGACCCGCGGUGCCCAGGGCAUUCCGGAGGCAGCCGAGGGCAGCAGCUCCCGGUUUCUUCUUUUCGAGUAUUAAAGGUGGAAGAAGGCCUAUAUCUUUUUCUGUGGGUGCUUCAAGUGUUGUUGGAAGUGGAGGCGACAGUGACAAGGGGAAGCUUUCCCUGCAGGAUGUAGCUGAGCUGAUUCGGGCCAGAGCUUGCCAGAGGGUGGUGGCCAUGGUGGGAGCCGGCAUCAGCACACCCAGUGGCAUUCCAGACUUCAGAUCUCCAGGGAGUGGCCUGUACAGCAACCUCCAGCAGUACGAUCUCCCGUACCCCGAGGCCAUUUUCGAACUCCCAUUCUUCUUUCACAACCCCAAGCCCUUUUUCACUUUGGCCAAGGAGCUGUACCCUGGAAACUAUAAGCCCAACAUCACUCACUACUUUCUCCGGCUGCUUCAUGACAAGGGGCUGCUUCUGCGGCUCUACACGCAGAACAUCGAUGGGCUUGAGAGAGUGUCGGGCAUCCCUGCCUCAAAGCUGGUUGAAGCUCAUGGAACCUUUGCCUCUGCCACCUGCACAGUCUGCCGAAGACCCUUCCCAGGGGAGGACUUUCGGGCUGAUGUGAUGGCAGACAGGGUUCCCCACUGCCCGGUCUGCACCGGCGUUGUGAAGCCCGACGUUGUGUUCUUUGGGGAGCCGCUGCCCCAGAGGUUCUUGCUGCACGUGGUUGACUUCCCCAUGGCAGAUCUGCUACUCAUCCUCGGGACCUCCCUGGAGGUGGAGCCUUUUGCCAGCUUGACCGAGGCCGUGCGGAGCUCCGUUCCCCGACUGCUCAUCAACCGGGACUUGGUGGGACCCUUGGCAUGGCGUCCUCGCAGCAGGGACGUGGCCCAGCUGGGGGACGUGGUUCACAGCGUGGAAAGGCUAGUGGAGCUUCUGGGCUGGACAGAAGAGAUGCGGGACCUUGUCCAGCGGGAAACUGGGAAGGUACAGACUGCUGAGGAGGACCAUCCAAGGGGCUGCCCUCCUCACUGCGCUAGGGUGUGGUCCACCUCGUAUGGAACCCCACUGGCUAACACAGUAACAGUCAUAACUGAUGAUGCUAUGAAUCCUGCACCAGGCGCUACCUGGACCUGAUUGGGUAUUACUUUCAAUACCUCCAUUUAGAGAUGAAGAAACAGAUGCUAACAGGCCAAGCAGGGACACGGUCCAGACACUCAGGGCUGAUGAGUCUACACUCUUAACAGACUUUAAGCGUUAUCUUCACUCCCUAAAGUAAAGCAGCCAACAGUGUUCCUCUAAGGCCUGGUAUGUGAUUCUGAGAUGAUACGGGUUAAAGAACUUUGAGAAGCUAAAGUUCUCUGCAUUUGUGUGGGAUGAAGGCUACAUUAGUGAUGCUUUUCGGAAGUAAUUGGUAUGAGAGCCAUUGAUCGAUUAUAAUCCGCGGAGGAAAGCCAAAGAGGCUUGAUGCUUUCUUUCUAAGAGAUUCCAAACCGCCUGUAAACAAGUGAAGUUACAGAAAUGCAGUUUCCCGUGAGAAUCAUGUAGCGUGUGUAGCCUUGAUAUUAAGGGUUUUCAGUGGGAGGUAGCGUUAAGCAUUUAAAGUCCAGCGUUAUGAUUACAGGCAGAUGUGACACUGUCCAAAGGGGAUUUCCCCAGUGUGUUAGUAUGUUCUCAUGCUGCUAAUAAAGGCAUACCUGAGACUGGGUCAUUUAUAAAGGAAAGAGGUUUAAUGGACUCACAGUUCCAUAUGGCUGUGGUGGCCUCACAAUCACAGUGGAAGAUAAGGAGGAGCAAAGUCCCCUCUUCCACAGCGGCGGGCAAGAGGAUGUGUGCAGGGGAACUGCCCUUUCGAAAACUGGCAGAUCUUGUGAGACUUACUCACUACCACAAGAACAGCAUGGAAAAGCCCCACCCCCAUGAUUCAGUUACUUCCACUUGGCCCCAUCCUGGACCCGUGGGGAUUAUUACAAUUCAAGCUUAAUGGACCAGACAAAUAGGAUGAUGGCUGCCCCCACACAAUAAAUGGUGACAUAGGAGACAUCCACAUCCCAAUUCUGACGAGACCUCAUGGCUAAUUUUGGUCAAACCAGAAUAUGUGAACUGAGUGGACACCGGAGGCUGCCACUGGAAUGCCUUCUCAGGCCGUGAGCUGCGCUGACUGGUAGGGCUGUGUUUACAUUCAGGGCCGCCCUGUCACAUAUACAAAGGAGCUGCGUGCCUGCCUGUUUGCUGUGUUGAACUCUUCACUCUGCUGAAGCUCCUAGUGGAAAAAGCUUUCUUCUGUGACCCUCUUGAACUGAACAGACCGACUGGAAUCCCAGACCGGAGUUUACUUUCUGUGCCCAGGUGAAGGGCAAGCUCAGCAUCUGUUGGUCAGAAGAUCCAGACUUGGGCCAAGCAGCCCCCAGCCCUCUUCAUGUCCCAAAGUGUGGUCCUGAGGCCCUAGUGCUGCACUUCUAGCAUGUCGGUCUCCUUUAGUAGGGCUAUUUUUAAUGAGAGAAAAUCUGUUCUUUAUUUCCAGCAUGAAAUACAUUCAGUCUCCUCAAAGGCACUGCAAGUGUUGACAUGAGUUGGAAAAAGGGAACCCUGGAGUACAUGGUGUCCCUCUGUGGGAACAGUUUGAGGACUGAAGGCAUGUGUCCUGGGUUUAUUGGAGAUGGCCCAGCUCCUCCCUCUGAAGGUGGUCACAUUCUGUUGACUCUCCAUACUCAGCCUCUCCUCCAGAAACAGAUCUGUUCCAGAACAUUCCAGCACUUUCUAUCUGGUCUCCUGUCCCCACACUAGCCCCCCUCCCCCAGGGCCUCCUCCAGUGACAGAGCUAAUCUCUGAGACAGGGAAGGCAUUACUCACUUCAAACCCAGGCUGAGUCCUGGUCACCUGCUGGAUUGUGACAUACGAGGUGGAAUCCACUGUGCUCCCACUUCUGCACAGGCUCCUCCUCCUGGGGCAGCACCAAGGCCCAGCUCUGAUGGCUCGCCCUGUCAGGCACCAGCUGCUUCCUCCUGGGCUCUUACCCACAUGCACAUCCUCCUUCCUAGCAUCAGAUUACCUGCGUGUUUCCCCAGACAAAAGCACUUCCCAUUCCUUAACCUUGCCCACCCUGGGCUGAGCUGAUGGGAAUAGAUUUAAUGACAGUGACUCCCAGGAAGGGGGUCCUGUGACCUUGCUCUGGUAAGAACAAAAGGUGGAACUGGUGACCUAGGAAAAGUGUUGAAUUUUAAAAAGAAUGAAAUUAGUUUCUAACUCUAGUUAAUGUUCCUUUUUUAUUUUAUUUUUUUGAGAGUCUUGCUCUGUCGCUCAGGAUGGAGUGCAGUGUUGCGAUCUCAGCUCACUGCAACUUCCGCCUCCCGGGUUUAAGCGAUUCUCCUGCCUCAGCCUCCUGGGUAGCUGGGACUACAGAUGUGUCCCACCACGCCUAGUACAGGGGCAUAUUUGUAAUAGAGACGGGUUUCGCUAUGCUGGCCAGGCUGGUCUCGAACUCCUGGCUUCAAGUGAUCCACCCGCCUCGGCCUCCCAAAGUGCUGGCAUUCCAAGCAUGAGCCACUGUGCCUGGCCCCUUUAUUUGAUAAUUUACACAUAAAUUCAUACACAUACUUUUGCCCAAAACUCUUUAUUUCAAGAUGAUGUUUCUGUGGCUAUGUGUGGUAUGUGGUAUAAAUCUCAAUCUAUGGUC